rnacentral:rRNA from 1 species
AGAGUUUGAUCCUGGCUCAGAACGAACGCUGGCUGCGUGCUCAACACAUGCAAGUCGAACGCGAAAGGGGACUUCGGUCCCCCGGUAGAGUGGCGCACGGGUGAGUAACGCGUAGAUAAUCUACCCCUAUAUUUGGGAUAACAAUUCGAAAGGAUUGCUAAUACCGAAUACACUUAUAAAUAUGCGAGUAUUAAUGAGGAAAGGUGACCUCUUCUUGAAAGUUACUGUAUAGGGAUGAGUCUGCGUACCAUUAGCUAGUUGGUAGGGUAAAAGCCUACCAAGGCUACGAUGGUUAGCGGGUCUGAGAGGAUGAUCCGCCACACUGGAACUGGAACACGGACCAGACUCCUACGGGAGGCAGCAGUGAGGAAUAUUGCGCAAUGGGGGAAACCCUGACGCAGCGACGCCGCGUGGGUGAUGAAGGCCUUCGGGUUGUAAAGCCCUGUCAGGUGGGAAGAAGUGCAUUAUGGCUAAUAUCCAUAGUGUUUGACGGUACCACCAAAGGAAGCACCGGCUAACUCCGUGCCAGCAGCCGCGGUAAUAC